rnacentral:rRNA from 1 species
GAUCAUGGCUCAGGAUGAACGCUAGCGGGAGGCCUAACACAUGCAAGCCGAGCGGUAGAGAUUCUUCGGAAUCUUGAGAGCGGCGUACGGGUGCGGAACACGUGUGCAACCUACCUUUAUCUGGAGGAUAGCCUUUCGAAAGGAAGAUUAAUACUCCAUAAUAUAUUUGAUGGCAUCAUUAAAUAUUGAAAGCUCCGGCGGAUAGAGAUGGGCACGCGCAAGAUUAGCUAGUUGGUGAGGUAACGGCUCACCAAGGCAAUGAUCUUUAGGGGCCUGAGAGGGUGAUCCCCACACUGGUACUGAGACACGGACCAGACUCCUACGGGAGGCAGCAGUGAGGAAUAUUGGUCAAUGGGUGCAAGCCUGAACCAGCCAUCCCGCGUGAAGGACGACUGCCUAUGGGUUGUAAACUUCUUUUGUAUAGGGAUAAACCUACUCUCGUGAGAGUAGCUGAAGGUACUAUACGAAUAAGCACCGGCUAACUCCGUG